rnacentral:rRNA from 1 species
GACGAAAGUUACGCUAAUACCGCAUAACGCCCUGGAGGGGAAAGUGGGGGACCGCAAGGCCUCACGCGAAUGGAGCGGCCGAUGUCAGAUUAGCUAGUUGGUGGGGUAAAGGCCCACCAAGGCGACGAUCUGUAGCGGGUCUGAGAGGAUGAUCAGCCACACUGGGACUGAGACACAGCCCAGACUCCUACGGGAGGCAGCAGUGGGGAAUAUUGGACAAUGGGCGCAAGCCUGAUCCAGCAAUGCCGCGUGUGUGAAGAAGGCCUGCGGGUUGUAAAGCACUUUCAGUGGGGAAGAACAGAUUCGGGUCAAUACCCCGGAGCCCUGACGUUACCCACAGAAGAAGCACCGGCUAACUCCGUG